rnacentral:rRNA from 1 species
GACGAACGCUGGCGGCGUGCCUAAUACAUGCAAGUAGAACGCUGAAGGAGGAGCUUGCUCUUCUGGAUGAGUUGCGGACGGGUGAGUAACGCGUAGGUAACCUGCCUGGUAGCGGGGGAUAACUAUUGGAAACGAUAGCUAAUACCGCAUAAGAGUAGAUGUUGCAUGACAUUUACUUAAAAGGUGCAAUUGCAUCACUACCAGAUGGACCUGCGUUGUAUUAGCUAGUUGGUGGGGUAACGGCUUACCAAGGCGACGAUACAUAGCCGACCUGAGAGGGUGAUCGGCCACACUGGGACUGAGACACGGCCCAGACUCCUACGGGAGGCAGCAGUAGGGAAUCUUCGGCAAUGGACGGAAGUCUGACCGAGCAACGUCGCGUGAGUGAAGAAGGUUUUCGGAUCGUAAAGCUCUGUUGUAAGAGAAGAACGAGUGUGAGAGUGGAAAGUUCACACUGUGACGGUAUCUUACCAGAAAGGGACGGCUAACUACGUG